UACGUAGGGUGCAAGCGUUGUCCGGAAUUAUUGGGCGUAAAGAGCUACGUAGGCGGUCUGUCGCGUCGGCUGUGAAAACUCGGGGCUCAACUCCGAGCUUGCAGUCGAUACGGGCAGGCUAGAGUUCGGCAGGGGAGACUGGAAUUCCUGGUGUAGCGGUGAAAUGCGCAGAUAUCAGGAGGAACACCGGUGGCGAAGGCGGGUCUCUGGGCCGAUACUGACGCUGAGGAGCGAAAGCGUGGGGAGCAAACAGG
rnacentral:rRNA from 1 species